rnacentral:rRNA from 1 species
GUCUGCAGCCAUACCACCCCAAAUGUGCCUGGUCUUGUCUGAGCUUCAGAAGCUAAGCAGGGUCUGGUUAGUGCUUGGACGGGAGGCUGCCUGGGAAUACCAGGGGCUGCAGGCU